UACGUAGGGGGCUAGCGUUGUCCGGAAUCAUUGGGCGUAAAGCGCGCGUAGGCGGCCAGAUAAGUCCGGUGUGAAAGUCAAAGGCUCAACCUUUGAAUGCCGCUGGAAACUGUCUGGCUCGAGUCCGGGAGGGGUGAGUGGAAUUCCUGGUGUAGCGGUGAAAUGCGCAGAUAUCAGGAGGAACACCAAUGGCGAAGGCAGCUCGCUGGAACGGUACUGACGCUGGGGCGCGAAAGCGUGGGGAGCGAACAGG
rnacentral:rRNA from 1 species